GUCGAGCGGUAACAGAUCCAGCUUGCUGGAUGCUGACGAGCGGCGGACGGGUGAGUAACGCGUGGGGAUCUGCCUGGUAGUGGGGGACAACAGUCGGAAACGACUGCUAAUACCGCAUACGCCCUUCGGGGGAAAGUGGGGGAUCUUCGGACCUCACGCUAUCAGAUGAGCCCGCGUCGGAUUAGCUGGUUGGUGGGGUAAAGGCCUACCAAGGCGAUGAUCCGUAGCUGGUCUGAGAGGAUGAUCAGCCACACUGGGACUGAGACACGGCCCAGACUCCUACGGGAGGCAGCAGUGGGGAAUAUUGGACAAUGGGGGCAACCCUGAUCCAGCCAUGCCGCGUGUGUGAAGAAGGCCUUCGGGUUGUAAAGCACUUUCAGCAGUGAGGAAAGGUGUGUGGUUAAUACCCGCAUACUGUGACGUUAACUGCAGAAGAAGGACCGGCUAACUCCGUGCCAGCAGCCGCGGUAAUACGGAGGGUCCGAGCGUUAAUCGGAAUUACUGGGCGUAAAGCGCGCGUAGGUGGUUCAGUCAGUCAGAUGUGAAAGCCCCGGGCUUAACCUGGGAAUUGCACCUGAUACUGCUGAGCUAGAGUACGGUAGAGGGCAGUGGAAUUUCCGGUGUAGCGGUGAAAUGCGUAGAGAUCGGAAGGAACACCAGUGGCGAAGGCGACUGCCUGGACCGAUACUGACACUGAGGUGCGAAAGCGUGGGUAGCAAACAGGAUUAGAUACCCUGGUAGUCCACGCCGUAAACGAUGUCAACUAGCCGUUGGGGGACU
rnacentral:rRNA from 1 species